rnacentral:rRNA from 1 species
GACGAACGCUGGCGGCGUGCUUAACACAUGCAAGUCGAACGGGUCUGCCCUGUUUUUUGCGGGGUGGGUCAGUGGCGAACGGGUGAGUAACACGUGAGUAACCUGCCCCUCACUUCUGGAUAACCGCUUGAAAGGGUGGCUAAUACGGGGUGUUCUGGCUGUGCCGCAUGGUGUGGCUGGGAAAGAUUCACUUUUGUGGUGUUUUGGUGGGGGAUGGGCUCGCGGCCUAUCAGCUUGUUGGUGGGGUGAUGGCCUGCCAAGGCUUUGACGGGUAGCCGGCCUGAGAGGGUGGGCGGUCACACUGGGACUGAGAUACGGCCCAGACUCCUGCGGGAGGCAGCAGUGGGGGGUAUUGCACAAUGGGCGGAAGCCUGAUGCAGCGGCGUCGCGUGAGGGAUGGAGGCCUUCGGGUUGUGAACCUCUUUCGCCGGUGAAGAAGGUCCUGCUCUUUGUGGUGGGGUUGACGGUAGCCGGGUUAUGAAGCGCCGGCUAACUACGUG